rfam:Melipona quadrifasciata isolate 0111107301 unplaced genomic scaffold scaffold123, whole genome shotgun sequence.
GGUUCCGUGGUGUAGUGGUUAUCACGUCUGCUUUACACGCAGAAGAUCGCCGGUUCGAUUCCGGUCGGAACCA